rnacentral:rRNA from 1 species
AUACGGAGGGUGCAAGCGUUACUCGGAAUCACUGGGCGUAAGGCGCGCGCAGGCGGCUAUUUAAGUUGGAUGUGAAAGCCUACGGCUCAACCGUAGAACUGCAUCCAAAACUAUUUAGCUAGAGUGUGGGAGAGGAAGAUGGAAUUAGUUGUGUAGGGGUAAAAUCCGUAGAGAUAACUAGGAAUACCAAAAGCGAAGGCAAUCUUCUGGAACACUACUGACGCUGAGGCGCGAAAGCGUGGGGAGCAAACGGGAUUAGAAACCCCAGUAGUCC